rnacentral:tRNA from 1 species
GUCUAGGUGGCAGAGUGGUCGAAUGCGAGAGUCUGCAAAACUCUUUUUCGUGGGUUCAAGUCCUACCCUAGACU